rnacentral:rRNA from 1 species
UACGUAGGGACCAAGCGUUGUUCGGAUUUACUGGGCGUAAAGGGCGCGUAGGCGGCAAUUCAAGUCAGCUGUGAAAUCUCCGGGCUUAACUCGGAACGGUCAGCUGAUACUGCUUUGCUAGAGUGCAGAAGGGGCAAUCGGAAUUCUUGGUGUAGCGGUGAAAUGCGUAGAUAUCAAGAGGAACACCUGAGGUGAAGACGGGUUGCUGGGCUGACGCUGACGCUGAGGCGCGAAAGCUAGGGGAGCGAACGGG